ACAAGGUAGAUUUUAAUUGCUAUCGAACCAGUUUUAUAAUUUAAUUGAAUUAUUCUCAUGUUUUCUCAUGGAUUCAAUUAAAACAUUAUGUACGCAUCUUCCUUUCAAGUAACUAGAUCUAGUAAAAAAAAAAGUGCUAGUGUUGAGAUAUGAUAUAGUUACGUAGGGGCGAUAGAAUCUAGACCUACGACCUACUGUGAUUUACUGGUGUACGUGAUAACAUUUGACCGGUUUCGACCUUCACAAGGACACAACUAGUUUAUGGCCUAUUGUCACACGUGGGUCAAGAUUUUUAGUCUAAAAAAAAAAUUGACCUUCUAGUGACUUGGUAAUUCGCGAAGAGGAACAAUGUCGCCAACACACCAGUUUCACCCUUUUCCACUCAGCUGAUGUAUCCAAAGGAUCGGCAAGUGACAAUGCAGUUUCGUAGGAUUUGUCAGGAUGUAGCACUGAGUGCUGCUAACUGCCCAACUGCCCAAGGGUCGUCGGCUCCUGAUUUCCAAAGCCUUUCUCAUGAUUGCGUAUUGCUGCAUGUAGGCAGAGGUUUGAAUUCAAAGCUUUCCUUUUCCUAGGUAGGUAGCUAGUAAUGACUAACGAGCCCAUUCUGUCCGAAACUUGCUGGUUAAGUCGCCAGUUACUCUUCUUCUCCCCUUCUUCUAUUAAUGAAAACAGUUCCACCGGACUCAAUAUCUGAGUCACACGUAAAGGCCAGGAGUUGGACUGGUUGUCAGAGGCUAUUUGAGACACAUGCCAUUAUAGGUAUUAGAGUGCUUAUAUCCAUUACCACUUCCGGCAAUGACAACCUGGCGGAAGAGCAAUUAGUUUUCUCUUAAGACCUAAUGAAUGAUAGAUUUUUAAAAAAAGGAACAUUUUUACCCUCCGGGUCCCGCCUCAGUGCCCUUCUCUCAAACGAAAAAAAAAAUCUGGAUCAGCGAAUGUAUAAAUUAAAGUAAAUAAAAUUGUAAUGAUAGACCCAUACACGCAGAAACACAUGCUGACACUAUUUGCUCAAGAUAAAUAUUUUCAAGACCAAUUUUAAUUUUAGAAGAUCAUAUUUCACUAACGCAGUAUUAGUCUUAUCUUGAGCACUAAAGCCAUUUCCCUGUAACAUUUCAACUGAAAUCUAAAUCUAACUACUAGAAGAAAUGUUGAGACGUUGGCAAAAGAUUAUAUCAAUGGACCUCAUUCACCAAAAAGAACGGUCACGUGAUAAUAUUGAUAAAACAAUGAAAAAAAAAAACUGUCACGUGAUAACCAUUGUUGAUUAAAAUGAGAUCGUAAUUUGUAUAGAAGAGAAAGAGAAUCACGUGGCUAAAUGUUUGUUUACGAUUGGUGAAUGAGGUCCAUUCACUCCGUCUGUAUGUCUGGUACACAUUUUGUACACGUUAAUCCCACUACCCAUUCUUGGAUCAUGCUGAAACAAACAUAUGUGAAAGAAAAUCUGACUGUGCGUUGGAGAAGCCGGGCUUUUCACAAAGCUUAUAUCUGUCCAAGAAAGCUAUGGACAGUGAAAGUACAUGGGUCUCAGCUCAGGAAGAAAAACGUACAAUCCGAAAAACGGCCAGCUCCACUACCACCGAAGCAAAAGGCACCUUAACCUGCGCUAUCUGUGGACGAGAGUGUCUCUCCAAUAUAGGGCUCCACAGCCACAUGAGGAAAGUGUGCUCUGAGAUGAACCAUAGUCGUUCUACGACUGAAGGAGGCCAAUGACGACAAUGAUAUCUGUCCGUCCGUCUGUCUGGUAAAAAAUUUGCACACGUUAUUUCUCCUACACUCAUUCUCGGAUCAAGUUGAAAUUUUGCACAAUUAUUCAUUGGCGCAGACAAGAUAUGAAUCAAUAAAAGUAACUAAUUAGUCAAUUAAUUUUCUAAAGAUUAUUUUGACCUGCAUUCAUUCUUUCAUUCUUAGACAAGAUAAACCAAUACGAUCAUUGGCCAUAUACCUGAAUAUCUGUCCGUUAAUAGGCUAACCAAAAAUUGCCAUAAAACAAUUACUAAACAAUUAUUAAUUAAAUAAGCAUAGCCAGAUUUGUUAAAAUAAACUUCUAAGACAUCGUGCCCCCAGAGCAUUGCAUAGAAGGCUUGACAAAACAACUCAUUGCACCAAAGUAUGUAAUAAAAAAAGUUAACCACUUAGACGGGCCUACCAUUGAUAGAGGUUUUAAACAUGGCAAAAGACAAGGAGGAAUGGAGAAAAACGGUCGACAAAUCUUGCUUGGUGCCCCAACGGUCCAACAGACUAAGGGAUAGGUAAGGUAAGUAAAACCACUUACACACACACACACACACACUCGCGCGUGCGUACACACACACACACAAACAUCUUUAAAUUAUUCCUAAAAAAUAAUCCAAGCAUCAUUGUCCGAAAGCAUUGACUGGUCAAGUUGGCUUGAAAGACUCCCCAGAUCAUCACUGUCCCCCUGCAUUGACUGGUCAAGUUGGCUUGAAAGACUCCCCAGAUCAUCACUGUCCCCCUGCAUUGCUCCAAAUAAUUUAUUUUUCUAAAACCAGAAUUAUUCUUACUUUAAACCCUUGACAUCAGUGGCGUAGCUAAGGGUUAGGCGGCCCAAGAAUGGGUAUGUGAGAAAUAAGGAGUACACACUUUUUACCAGACAAACGUACCGGGUGAGUUGAUAUAAGCUUUGUAAAAAAAAAAAACAAGUUGCUGCAAUUAAAAUAAAACGGAUUUUCUGGUAACAGGAUGGAAUGUAGAUCUUUGCAAUACGUAUAAAAAUAAAAGUUAGAUUAUCAAUGUGAUUAUUUCAAGUUUAAACUAACUUAUUCAUAUUGUGCAUAAGUUAUCAUUAAUUCCUACAUUUUAAGGGACCGUUACAGAUUUGUGUGCAGUUAUUGUAAAUGUUACAUUGCUGUGCACAAUGGUAUUAUUUCACGGGAGUACACUGGAACAUGUCCAUUUCUAUCAAGUAAUAUCAUUCCUCUGUCAAGAAACGUUUACAGAGGACCUUUACAAGCGUUAAGCAUCAAUAUACAUCAAGCAAUAGACUCGACAACGAUUGACAUCAGUGAUUUUUCUUGCUUGUUGAUAAAACCAAGAUCCAAGCAGUUAGUGAAGAUUCUCAUACAUGGAACCAAAUCAAAUCCUUAUCAAGCUGUUUAGUGUAACCGGUGUACAAAAUACAGAUUUAUUGAUCUCGAACGAAUCAUUUAGGACAGCUAGGCGCGAUACUAGACCUGUUUCAGCCUCAGGAUGCAGAAGAAGAAGGUGAUUUUAGCUUACAGGGCCCAGUCAAUGUCGCAAAUCAUCCAGAUCUGUCAAGCUCUGAUGGCAACAUUGGCUGUUACGUUUUUGCUGAAAGAAUCGAUGUUCAAAAUACUGUCAUCAAUAACCAAACUGCUCAACCGGUGGACGAUCAACGAAUUCCUAACAUUCCACCAGGACAAAAUCUUCCACCAUCUGGGGUACUGCAGCGUGCUCAAAAUAACAAUGUCCAGCCAUCGAUGCUACUUCCACCUACCAUCCCAGCGGACAGAAAAACGACUACAGAGCAAUUGCAAGGUCUCAAUAAUGAGCCGACUGGACCGAGGGACCUAAAUCAAAGUGCAGACUCUGCUAGGCCAAAUUCAAAUCCUUAGGAUCCAUCGUAGAAAACAAAGUAGCAACGUAUUAAAUGUUUAGUGUUUUCAAGUCAGAAGGCUAGACAAAAAAAAUACUAAACGUUUUAAUAUAUAUCUUAGUUUGUAGGAAACAUCCAGAAAAGAACUUUAUGAAAUAUUGAAUGUGUGGUAUUAUAAAUUGUCAUUCUUUUAGCUUUUUCGUCUAUUUAUAACAUCCAUGUUUCUUUGUUAUGGUCUUCUUAUUCAUUUUAUAUAAUUCUUUUUUUAUUUUUCGUAUUUUGAAAAUAUUUACUUGUAUAUUCCUUUUAAAACUACUCACUAUAUGUUUUCUUUGUAAUUUUUUUUUCAUUGUAUAUUCCUUUGUUAUUUCGCAAUUUAAAUUCCUUGGUUUUUAUUUUAUACCUUUUUUAUGUCUGUACUUUCUUUUUUUUCUUCACCUUUUUAUACAUAAGUGGUGUGUGUAUCGCUGGGAUGCAAAACAAAAAAAAAAUUUUUGAAUAUAAACUAGAAAUUUAUCUCAUUCAUUUCAGCCCAAAAACGUAUCAUGCUUUAGUCAGACAAAUCUGUUCAUGUUUAGGGCUAUAUUUGUGCAUGUCUAUUUGUAUGACUGCCUGUGUGUAUUUGAAUGUUUGUGUGUGUUUAUGCCUAUGUUUACAUAUAUGCGUGUAUGCAAGAAUAUCCACAUACGUUAGGCUAACUACAUUUUUUUUAUUGUACAAGUUAUUAGCCGAAGUUACCAGUAAAAGUUACAUGUAAGACUCAUCGGUAAAAGUUACCUGUAGACUUACGUGUAAAAGUGACCUAUAAAACUUACUAGAAAAGCACUAUACUUGUUGUUUUUCCUAAAGAUUGUCGUGCCUUUAUUUGUUCAGUUUUAUGUUUCAUUUAAAAGCUUGUAUUAAAUGUGUUGAAAUAUCGAAAAGUGAAAUAAUUCGUAAAGUAUUAAGAGAGAAGGCUGUAAAUGUGUAGUUAUUCUCAUAGAUAAGUUUGUUUGUUUUUUAAGUAUUUUUUAUAUUUUUCUGCCUUUCACUUGAUGAAAAAUAAAUAUUAUUGCUUCAUAAAUAACUAGCCAAUUUGAAAUUGAAUGGCCUAUAAAGUGAGGGUCUUGGGGUUUGAAUCCCACUGAAGCUCCUGAUUUUUUAUUGACAUGUCAAUGGCGUCAUCCCAACAUUUAUUUCGGCACGUUAAGUGCCACUUAAGCAGACGAAACUUUAUAAAACUCGCUGCCCAGGAACCGCCUGAGAUAUUUAAUAUGAUACGUUUAAUAUCAUUUUGAGAUAUUAAAUAUGAUACGUUUAAUAUCAUUUUGAGAUAUUUAAUAUGAUACGUUUAAUAUCAUUUUGAGAUAUUUAAUAUGAUACGUUUAAUAUCAUUUUGAGAUAUUUAAUAUGAUACGUUUAAUAUCAUUUUGAGAUAUUUAAUAUGAUACGUUUAAUAUCAUUUUGAGAUAUUUAAUAUGAUACGUUUAAUAUCAUUUUGAGAUAUUUAAUAUGAUACGUUUAAUAUCAUUUUGAGAUAUUUAAUAUGAUACGUUUAAUAUCAUUUUGCAAUGUCUCACGCAACCUUAUAUAUACUCUGUUUUUAUAUAUUAAACCUCUUUCCUUUAACUCUUUCUCUCCGCAAUUAUUCUCCUCGUUUCGAUAGUAUUAUUCCUUUUGCUCAUUUGUAAUUCACCAUCCUGUUAGGAUUAAUUUUCAAACUUUUUGUUUGUUAUCAGAAAAUGUUAUAUUUGGUAUUAAAUUGUUGUAGAAAUCAUGCUUUUUUUUUUACACAACACAAUUUAAAGCUUAUAAAUCCAAAAAUUAAUUUAGUUUAAUUGGGUCAAAUCAACGUUGACAUUGUCAAUCAGGAGAGAAAGAGUUAAAUUAUUCCAUAAGAAUACGAUUUCAAAUUGUUUAAAGGUUCGCGAUUUUUUUGUUGUUUUAGUUCCAUUGCCCUAUAUGUGUGUAUGUUUGUGUAUGGUUGUGCAUUUAGAGACUAUUUGCACUUUAUUUUGUUCAUAUAGUUUCUGACACGGUGCAGGUCACUUGGAUUUUUACAUUGUUUUAAACCUUGGCCAAUACAAUAUUCUAUAUUUGUUUUACUUCUACAUAUCUACUUAUGUGCUGGACACAAAACUCUCAUAUAUGUCGCGUCAUUUAUGUUUCAUAUUCAUAAAUUUAAACAAAUGUCAAUAGAAUAGAGAGAGAGACAACACUUAUUUUCUGACAUAUCAAUACACAAAAAUUGUUCUGACAAAAAUCAUUUUACAAGCCUUUAAGCACAACUGAAUAAGCCUGACUUUUGAAAAUAAUAGUUUAAUAUCAUAUCUAAUAUAUAAUUCUUUUUUUAAAUUUAAAUAUUGUAUAUCAAUAAAAUGUUCACUUGUUCCUGGUCUUUGUGUAGGCCUAUUACUGCUUGUAUAUCAAUAAAAUGUUCACUUGUUCCUGGUCUUUGUGUAGGCCUAUUACUGCUUGCCCAAUCCAAUGCACAAUAUGCAAUAUACACUAUCUAAUUAUUUUUUAAAACUUGAUAUGGUUACCAUUUGUUAAUAUUCAUAAUUCUGUUUUAAUUUCCGGGGGCAGCAGCACUCUAAAAUGCUCUUAUACCUUGUUAAAGUGUUCUGACGUUGAGGCAAUGUUAUGUCAGUUGUGUUCUAGUAAACUUCAUUUCACCUUUCACCUGGAUAAUUCCAGAGGCUCAAAUUACAUCUCUACUUUUUUUUUGGUAUCACUAAGCAUUACGUUAUUCAUUGUAUUAGAUCUAGUAGUUCAAAGAUCACCCAAUGAAAGAAAUCCAUUGGGGUAUUGUUUUUGAGAUUAUUUUGCUUAAGAAAAAAUGCGUAUUUAUUCUUUAUCAAUACAUAUCCAGAAAAUAUCUAAUCGCUUUAUAUAUGCUGUUGUUGUUAUGAUAUAAUCUCUUUCUCGCUCUAGGGUAUCUAUCUCUCUCUCUCUCUCUCUCUCUCUCUCUCUCUCUCUAUAUAUAUAUAUAUAUAUAUAUAUAUAUAUAUAUAUAUAUAUAUAUAUAUAUAUAUAUAUAUACAUAUAUAAGUGUGUGUGUGUGUACACACACACACUUACAUACUUGCAUGUAUAUCUGCUUUCAAUAAAUUAAAUCUAUACAUUUAUAUUUGAAAAAUAUCAAUGUAUGGACAAUUAUUUUUUAUUAUUUCUGUUUAUUUGUAGUUGUAGGAUUCUACCUCAAUAAUCUUAAUUAAUACUAUUAUUGUAAACUUUUGCAAAAUAUAUAUUAAAUUAGUAUGCCAUUUUUGGAUUAAUAAACGCUUUCUUAAUGCUUCAAUUGUUUUUUUUAUUUUCAGUAAUUGAGACCAUGCCUUAUAUUGUGUUCAUCAAGUCACCAGCAAACCUUUUCGUGUUUGUGUAGGGUGUGGCAAAAUAUGUAGGUCACAGCUGGGGCUUCGUAGCGACGUGUAAUACUGCACUCCUCAUUAAGCUUCGGACUGAAGACAAGCCUUAUUAAUUCACUAACUUACAUCAUAGCUUCACAGUUGCUAAUACACCAACAAUUUUACUUGAGGCUGUCAAUGUUUUCAAAUAGACAACCAGUUAUGGCUACAGUGAACAUUAGAGUGAACAGGCCACAACUUUCCUGUCAGUAUUUCCUUAAUUUAAAGUGACUAAGUCGAAUCUCAAACAAUGCAAGACUGUAAUAACUAAAAAAAAAUAUAUAUAUCCUUAUAUCAUAAGUCACCUGUAUAAUAACAAGUAUAAUACAAAGUAUAAUAGAUAUCACGUAUAAUACAUAUCAAGUAUAACACCUAGAAUAAUACAUACCAAAUAUUUAGAAACAAAUAUAAUACAAACCUAGUAUAAUACAUACCAAGUAUAAUAUCAAAUAAAAUACCUAGUAUAAUACAUAUACAUACCAAAUAUAAUACAAACAAAUAUAUAUACAAGUAUAGUAGGCUACAUGCAAAGUACAAGAUACAAUUACAAGACGGGUGAUUUACUUGAUAAGAUUUCAAUGACUUUGACUUUUUAGUUUCGUAUAUUAUUUCGUCCUGGUUCAACCCACCUUCAGGGCGGGCCGGGAAGGCAGAGGAGGCUGCGGUCUGGGUUCGAACACGGGACCAUCGAGGUGACAGACCGGCGUGUUACCAUAUGUAUUUAUUCAUCGAAUUUAAAUGCCAGACAGCCAAGUAGGAACUCGACUUAUGAAUGAUCCUAGCUCUAAUAGUUUGCUGAAACUUAAUUCAUUUUACAAAGAUGGCACUAACAUUGUACACUGUGUAUACAGAUGUGUUGCUCUCUCUCUCUCUCUCGGGCGCGGUGGCUGAGUGGCUAAGCGCUUGGUUCCAAACCUGGGGUCCUGGGUUUAAAUCUCAGUGAAGACUGGAAUUCUGAAUUUCGGGAGUCUUAAUGGGUACCUGGCUUUAGUUGGCGAAAGUAAAGGCGGCUGGUCGUAUUAUUGGCCAAAUGACACCCUGCUCGUUAACCGUUUGCCACAGAAACAAAUGAUCUUAACAUGUGCCCUAUAGAUCGCAAGGGCGGCUGGUCGUUGUGCUGGCCAAAUGACACACCGCUCGUUAACCGUUUGCCACAGAAACAAAUGAUCUUAACAUCAUCUGCCCUAUAGAUCGCAAAGUCUGAAAGAGGAACAACUUUAAUUCUCUCUCUCUUUCUCUCUCUCUCUCUCUGUGUGUGUGUGUGUAUGUGUGUGUUAUCAACAGCAGACAACUAGGUUGACUUGGUCAUGUUCAUUGAAUGACACAAGGUUGAUUACCACAAGGCGUUCUGUAUGAUGAUCUCAUUUUUAAGGUAUACUGAUGUAUGCAAAUGCAAAAUGAAGCUCUUGAAAAAUAACACUAACAGUUAGGAAAACUGGGCACUUCUACAGAGGCUAGGAGACCAAGCAUAAAGGAAGGGCCCUGGAUUACUGAUAGCAUACACACCAGAAGUAGAAAGAAGGGUGAAAGUGUAACAGCGCCUGUUGAUUACAGAUGCCCAACAAGGAUUGGCGACUUAAGUCACAUGACAAGUGGCAAAGGGAAAAAAUCGUCUCUCGAAAAGUAAAAUUCUUCAGUGUGUGUGUGUGGGGGGGGGGCUAUCGACUAGUGUGAUACAUGUAAUCUAGUGACUAACAUGCCAUUACAUGUACCAGAUAGAGACAAAGGAAUGAAAGGGACCGAGACUGAGACAGAAUAUUGAAUGAAGCGAUGAGUGGAUUUAAGUGGGAUGUCUGGCUGAGAGGCUAAAACAGCUUACCUACCUAUUAGGGAGGCUCGAGUUCGAAUCCCUACCCCAGCAGAGUUGUGUUUGCUGAGAGCAGGCAGCACGAAACUUUCUCCGGACACUUCCUCCCCACACUGGUCCUCAAAGAGAUUGAACCACAGGCCAUAGCGCACUGACCAUGCACUGACCAUGCUCUGACCAUGCACUGACCAUGCUGUAACCAUGAAGAAUGCGCUAUAGAGAAGCAAUUAGUAAAAUGUUUGUUUGUAAAAUGUUCUACGUGUUUCGGAUGCUGAAGAUCUUCAGAGUUGAAGAUAGUUUACUUCCUAGUCCAAAAAACUACCGCAAGACGACAUGGGAUGGGAGCGGGCAGGGUUCGAACCCGGGACUAUCGAAAAGUCCAAACGACAGUACAGCGAGCAAACCGCACGACUAGGCAGCCAUCCUAAAGUUGUGAUCCAAUCAUCUCUCUUGUCUUCUGCCUUGGCUAGAGACUUCAACCACCACUGUGGUGACGCAUUAAAUCCUAACCGUCUUUGAUUUUACUAAUAGAAACCAAUGAGCUGAAAGCUUACGGAGAAACAUCAGUCUUUUUGGACUUUAACAUGAGGCUGUGGAGAGACCCGGAGGAAAUUGUGCACCUCAAGUUCUGCAAAGAAAAUGAGAACACAUUCACAGAAGUGCUCAGAGUCAACAGAAGCAUCAUGCUGGUGGAGCUGUUAGCAGAAGACGUCUACAACCUCAGAGUCAUGAAAGACAACUAUGUACUAUUUGUCAACUUGCUUCGAAUGACCGAGGCCCUGGCUGGGCUGUACGGAUGCUUCAUUGGACGCGAAAAGGCACUUGUCGGAGACAGCAGCCUUAGAGUUGUUUUCAAAAAUGGCUCUCUGAGACUAACAUUAAAGAAAAUGGAUUUAAUACACAGUCCGAUCAGCCAUAUGAAAUUACUCCAGGAGAUGAAACAAACAAUGAGACGGAAGAACUAGGAAUUUUGACCAAUCGGUCUCCGCCCUUGUUACAAAAUGUCACGUUAGACUUCAACGUGACAGCAGUGUCCGCAGAGAUUCCUUUCUUCAGUAUUCUAUUCCGCAAAGAGAACCAAACGUCCUGGCUGGACUUGCUGGAGGUGUACACAGCGAGCGGCCAGGUGAAGUAUCUGAGGCCGUUGAACGAGUCUAUCGCCUUCACGGACACCCCGAACACAGGCCAGGUUGGUCUCUGGCUCCACGGCUUCUCCCCGGCGAUGUACGGCGUGUAUAAAUGUUUCCACAUAUCCGCCUCUGUCUUCAUUCAAACAGAUGGAUGUGGAUACAACUUAUCGUACACAUUCGACAUAAAUGGCGGCUGCAACGAUUAUAUAAAUCUUGCCCCCGUUCUUUUGUGCUUCUUUGUGACAUUUGCGCGCCGAGAUUAAAAGAACGCUGGGUUGAAAGACCAAAGGAAAAACCCAAAAGAGAGACCCAAAGAAAAACUCUCUUGCAUACCAAAUGAUCCGAGAAUUCUCUGAGAAGAAAACUAAAAUGUGAAAGUUUAAUUUGUAAUUUGUAGCUCGAUGUUCAAUGUUAGAAAUAAAAAUGUAUCUGAAGUUA